rnacentral:rRNA from 1 species
CAGUCGCCACGGGAACACGUAUGUCGCAAGCGUUAUCCGGAAUUAUUGGGCAUAAAGGGCAUCUAGGCGGCCAGGCAAGUCUGGGGUGAAAACCUGCGGCUCAACCGCAGGCCUGCCCUGGAAACUGCGUGGCUGGAGUGCUGGAGAGGUGGACGGAACUGCACGAGUAGAGGUGAAAUUCGUAGAUAUGUGCAGGAAUGCCGAUGAUGAAGAUAGUUCACUGGACGGCAACUGACGCUGAAGUGCGAAAGCCGGGGGAGCGAACAGGAUUAGAUACCCCCGUAGUCCCUGUCUCUUAUAC